AUUGAACGCUGGCGGCAGGCCUAACACAUGCAAGUCGAACGAGUGGCGGACGGGUGAGUAAUGUCUGGGAAACUGCCUGAUGGAGGGGGAUAACUACUGGAAACGGUAGCUAAUACCGCAUACCAUCGGAUGUGCCCAGCUGGGAUUAGCUAGUAGGUGGGGUAAAGGCUCACCUAGGCGAAGAUCCCUAGCUGGUCUGAGAGGAGGACCAGCCACACUGGAACUGAGACACGGUCAAGAGUCCUACGGGAGGAAGCAGUGGGGAAUAUGGCGCAAUGGGCGAAAGCAUGAUGCAGCAAUGCCGCGUGUAUGAAGAAGGCCUGCGGGUUGUAAAGUACUUUCAGCGGGGAGGCGGUACCCGAAGAAGAAGCACCGGCUAACUCCGUGCCAGCAGCCGCGGUAAUAC
rnacentral:rRNA from 1 species